CAGCAAGUAGUUUAUAUUAAAAUAUAAGUUUUGGAGAUUUAAGAUGGAUUAUAUUAUCUUUUGCUGA
rnacentral:tRNA from 1 species